UACGGAGGGUGCAAGCGUUAUCCGGAUUCACUGGGUUUAAAGGGUGCGUAGGUGGGCAGGUAAGUCAGUGGUGAAAUCUCCGGGCUUAACCCGGAAACUGCCAUUGAUACUAUCUGUCUUGAAUACCGUGGAGGUGAGCGGAAUAUGUCAUGUAGCGGUGAAAUGCUUAGAUAUCGUCAAGAACACCAAUAGUGAAGACAGUUUACUAGACUUCAACUGACGCUGAGGCACGAAAGUGUGGGGAUCAAACAGG
rnacentral:rRNA from 1 species